GGCUUCAACAUCCCCGCAGGCUGGGUGCGGAUUCGGACUUCAAGUUCGAAGACGCGCAGUGAGCCGGCUGGAGCC
rnacentral:sRNA from 1 species